CUGCCUGCGGGCACACAUGGUCAAUAUGAAAAGAUACAGAGAUAAUCAGCAUGGCCCCUGCACUAAGGAUGACAUGUUCGAAUCAAGGAGAUGCAAGCCCUUUUU
rnacentral:snRNA from 1 species